UUUCCGUAGGUGAACCUGCGGAAGGAUCAUUAAUGAGGGCGCGUGGGCUAAUAUCCCCGCGAACCCUAACCCUUUGUUUACUGCCCCCAUUGUGGUUUACUUGGGUGCGGUUUGGCUUCAAAGAAAAAAAAAGAAAGAUAAAAUAAGAAACUGUUUUUUUCUUUCUCUUUUCUUUUGAGGUUUUAAUGAUGUGCCCAAAAGGCUGCCACAGUUAAAAAAAAUCUCAUUAAUACAUUGAUGUCUGAGCAAAUUAUUUUUAAACAAGCAAAACUUUCAACAACGGAUCUCUUGGUUCCGGCAUCGAUGAAGAACGCAGCGAAAUGCGAUAAGUAAUGUGGACCGCAGUACUCAGCGACUCAUCGAAUCUUUGAACGCACAUUGCGCCCCUUGGUAUCACCAAAGGGCACACCUGUUCGAGCGUCACCAGACAUGCAUCAGGCUAAGGGCCCGGCUUGCAUUGGGCUUUUUCUAUGUAUGGAAAAGUCUUAAAAUCAGUGGCGGUUAAGUUAGGCAUUCCAGCGUAGUGAUUAUAUUAGCUGUUGAAAUACCAUUAACAUAACCGUCAACAUGUCCAGGGUUUCUGCUGGCGGAGACCUGGUUGGAUUUAUUAUCAGAUAUUGACCUCGUAUCAGGUGAGGAUACCCGCUGAAUUUAA
rnacentral:misc_RNA from 1 species